rnacentral:lncRNA from 1 species
ACUCCACCUUCGAGUGAUAUUUAGAUUGCUCGCCUCUUUUUCUUGUUCGUUCUUCGAUUGCGGACAGGAAUCGAUCUUCAUGAUCAGGCUGAUCUUGCACCGGCGAGGUUGGUAACCAUCGGGAGUUGGUUCAACGAUUGCAUUGGCGCUUCGGGUUCGCUCGUCGUAGUCAGAUCGUGAGGGUCUACUUCCACCAAGUCGAAUUUAUCUCCACU